UACGGGGGGGAGCAAGCGUUGUUCGGAUUUACUGGGCGUAAAGGGCGCGUAGGCGGCGCAACAAGUCACUUGUGAAAUCUCCGGGCUUAACCCGGAGCGGUCAAGUGAUACUGUCGUGCUAGAGUGCGGAAGGGGCUACUGGAAUUCUCGGUGUAGCGGUGAAAUGCGUAGAUAUCGAGAGGAACACCUGCGGCGAAGGCGGGUAGCUGGGCCGACACUGACGCUGAUGCGCGAAAGCCAGGGGAGCGAACGGG
rnacentral:rRNA from 1 species